rnacentral:lncRNA from 1 species
AACACUUCAGUGGAAACUCUGCAUGGGCAUUUUUAAAGAAAUGUUUCUGGUUUUAGUCAGGAAAUAGAUUUUUCUGUCAGCCUGACUUAUUUACAGCCAAAUUACAUAACAUAGCUAUAUUGUUUCGCUAUGGAUAUCAAGGAAUAUUAAAAAUAUGGUAUUAAUGUUCUUUAUUAAAAUAACCUGAUUUUUAUUUACUACUUUGGUUGGUUGGUUGGUUAAUGUGUUUUACUUGCUUCAGGAAGCCUCCAAUAGAAUUUUGCAAUCUGCAAUUUAAAUUCAUAAAUACUUACUUCUUCAAAAAAUACUGAGUAGUAUUUGUGUCAUAUGUGGUGCUGUGUCCUAUCUGUAUCUGCCUUCUCUGACAUCAUUAACAUACAUAACAUGCAAACAUUCUGAGAUCAAAUACUGAAACCCUGUUUUUCUUUCUUUUUUUUUUAAUAACAAAAAAAGAUUUUAUUGGGAACAGGUGCCCUGAAACCCUCUUAAAAUCUAUGUCAAAUACAUAGAUUUACAUGUAGCAGAGAUGCUGAGCCAUGCUCAGUAUCAGAGUGCUAAAUACA